AGUUCUUUCAAUCCGUGCCGAGAUUUCGUCAGACACUAGACCAUCAGAACUGAUGAAAUUCUUAAUAUAGUUUGUAGCG
rfam:Schistosoma curassoni strain Dakar, Senegal genome assembly, scaffold: SCTD_contig0002210